rnacentral:rRNA from 1 species
CCUACGGGAGGCAGCAGUGAGGAAUAUUGGUCAAUGGCCGGAAGGCUGAACCAGCCAUGCCGCGUGAAGGAAGAAGGCUUUCGGGUUGUAAACUUCUUUGCUGAGGGACGAAGAAAGUGACGGUACCUCAGGAAUAAGCCACGGCUAACUACGUGCCAGCAGCCGCGGUAAUACGUAGGUGGCAAGCGUUAUCCGGAUUUAUUUGGUGAAAGGGGCGUGUAGGCGGGAAAGCAAGUCAGAUGUGAAAACUCAGGGCUCAACCCUGAGCCUGCAUUUGAAACUGUUUUUCUUGAGUGCUGGAGAGGCAAUCGGAAUUCCGUGUGUAGCGGUGAAAUGCGUAGAUAUACGGAGGAACACCAGUGGCGAAGGCGGAUUGCUGGACAGUAACUGACGCUGAGGCGCGAAAGCGUGGGGAGCAAACAGGAUUAGAUACCCCUGUAGUC